UGGGGAAUCUUGCACAAUGGGGGCAACCCUGAUGCAGCGACGCCGCGUGAGCGAUGAAGCCCUUCGGGGCGUAAAGCUCUUUCGACCGGAACGAUAAUGACGGUACCGGGAGAAGAAGCUGCGGCUAACUACAUGCCAGCAGCCGUGGUAAUACGUAGGCAGCAAGCGUUGUUCGGAGUUACUGGGCGUAAAGAGUGCGUAGGCGGUUUUCUAAGUUCGGUGUGAAAUCUCCCGGCUUAACUGGGAGGGUGCGCCGAAGACUGGGAAGCUGGAGUGUGGGAAAGGCAGGCGGAAUUCCUGGUGUAGCGGUGAAAUGCGUAGAUAUCAGGAGGAACACCGGCGGUGUAGACGGCUUGCUAGACCAUAACUGACGCUGAGGCACGAAAGCGUGGGUAGCAAACA
rnacentral:rRNA from 1 species